UGGCGAGUUUGAUCCUGGCUCAGGAUAAACGCUGGCGGCGUGCCUAACACAUGCAAGUCGAACGCCCUUAGCAAUAAGGGAGUGGCGGACGGGUGAGCAACACGUGGGUUAUCUGCCUCCGGGUGAGGAAUACCGGCGAGAAAUCGCCGACAAUACCGCAUACGCUCGGCAACGAGCAAAGCCGGAAACGGCGCCGGGAGAUGAGCCUGCGCUCGAUUAGUUGGUUGGUGGAGUAAUGGCCUACCAAGGCGACGAUCGAUAGCUGGUCUGAGAGGACGAUCAGCCACACUGGGAUUGAGAACGGCCCAGACUCCUACGGGGGGCAGCAGUGAGGAAUUUUCGUCAAUGGGGGCAACCCUGAACGAGCAACGCCGCGUGCAGGAUGACGGCCUUCGGGUUGUAAACUGCUUUUCUCUGGGACGAGAACGGACGGUACCAGAGGAAUCAGCCUCGGCUAACUACGUGCCAGCAGCCGCGGUAAUACGUAGGAGGCAAGCGUUGUCCGGAGUUACUGGGCGUAAAGCGCACGCAGGCGGUCAGAUAAGUCUGUGGUGACAGUCGUCGGCUCAACUGACGAAGGACGAUGGAAACUGUCUGACUUGAGGGCUUCAGAGGGACACGGAAUUCCGGGUGGAGUGGUGAAAUGCGUAGAUAUCCGGAGGAACACCAAUGGCGAAGGCAGUGUCCUGGGAAGCACCUGACGCUCAGGUGCGAAAGCUAGGGGAGCGAACAGGAUUAGAUACCCUGGUAGUCCUAGCCGUAAACGAUGACCACUAGACGUUGGGGGUAUCGACCCCUUCAGUGUCGCAGUUAACACAGUAAGUGGUCCGCCUGGGGAGUACGGUCGCAAGAUUAAAACUCAAAGGAAUUGACGGGGACCCGCACAAGCAGCGGAGCGUGUGGUUUAAUUCGAUGCAACGCGAAGAACCUUACCAAGGCUUGACAUGAACUUGCACCAGCCGUAACGGGCUGUCUCUUCGGAGCGGGUUCACAGGUGCUGCAUGGCUGUCGUCAGCUCGUGUCGUGAGAUGUUGGGUUAAGUCCCGCAACGAGCGCAACCCCUGUCGUUAGUUGAACUUCUCUAACGAAACUGCCAUUUCAAAAUGGAGGAAGGCGGGGAUGACGUCAAGUCAGCACGGCCCUUACGCCUUGGGCGACACACACGCUACAAUGGUCAGGACAAAGAGUGGCCAACCCGCGAGGGGAGCUAAUCUCGUCAAACCUGGCCUCAGUUCAGAUUGGAGGCUGCAACCCGCCUCCAUGAAGUUGGAGUUGCUAGUAACCGUAGGUCAGCACACUACGGUGAAUACGUUCCCGGGUCUUGUACACACCGCCCGUCACACCACGAAAGUUGGCAACACCUGAAGCCGCUGGGCUAACCCUUCGGGGGGGCAAGCGUCGAGGGUGGGGUCAGUGAUUGGGGUGAAGUCGUAACAAGGUAGCCGUACCGGAAGGUGCGGCUGGAUCACCUCCUUU
rnacentral:rRNA from 1 species